rnacentral:rRNA from 1 species
CUGGCGGCGUGCCUAAUACAUGCAAGUCGAACGGUCUUUCUAUGGAAGCUUGCUUCCGCUGAGAAGAUAGUGGCGAACGGGUGAGUAACACGUGGGUAACCUGCCCAUAAGAGGGGGGAUAACAUCCGGAAACGGGUGCUAAUACCGCAUAGUUUUCUUGAUCGCAUGAUCGGGAAAGAAAAGACGGCCUUUGUGCUGUCGCUUAUGGAUGGACCCGCGGCGUAUUAGUUAGUUGGUGAGGUAACGGCUCACCAAGACGAUGAUACGUAGCCGACCUGAGAGGGUGAUCGGCCACAUUGGGACUGAGACACGGCCCAAACUCCUACGGGAGGCAGCAGUAGGGAAUCUUCCGCAAUGGACGAAAGUCUGACGGAGCAACGCCGCGUGAGUGAAGAAAGGUUUUCGGAUCGUAAAACUCUGUUGUCAGAGAAGAACAAGUUGGAGAGUAACUGCUCCAGCCUUGACGGUAUCUGACCAGAAAGCCACGGCUAACUACGUGCCAGCCGCAGC